UACGUAGGCAGCGAGCGUUGUUCGGAGUUACUGGGCGUAAAGAGUGCGUAGGCGGUUUUCUAAGUUUGGUGUGAAAUCUCCCGGCUUAACUGGGAGGUGCGCCGAAGACUGGAAGGCUUGAGUAUGGGAGAGGUAAGCGGAAUUCCUGGUGUAGCGGUGAAAUGCGUAGAUAUCAGGAGGAACACCUGCGGUGUAGACGGCUUACUGGACCAUAACUGACGCUGAGGCACGAAAGCGUGGGUAGCAAACAGG
rnacentral:rRNA from 1 species